rnacentral:rRNA from 2 species
CUGGGGAUUGAACACGGCCCAGAUUCUUACGGAGGCCACCAUUAGGGAAUCUUCCGCAAUGGACGAAAUUCUGACGGAGCAACCCCGCUUGAGUGAUGAAGGCUUUCGGGUCGUAAAACUCUGUUGUUAGGGAAGAACAAGUGCUAGUUGAAUAAGCUGGCACCUUGACGGUACCUAACCAGAAAGCCACGGCUAACUACGUGCCAGCAGCCGCGGUAAUACGUAGGUGGCAAGCGUUAUCCGGAAUUAUUGGGCGUAAAGCGCGCGCAGGUGGUUUCUUAAGUCUGAUGUGAAAGCCCACGGCUCAACCGUGGAGGGUCAUUGGAAACUGGGAGACUUGAGUGCAGAAGAGGAAAGUGGAAUUCCAUGUGUAGCGGUGAAAUGCGUAGAGAUAUGGAGGAACACCAGUGGCGAAGGCGACUUUCUGGUCUGUAACUGACACUGAGGCGCGAAAGCGUGGGGAGCAAACAGGAUUAGAUACCCUGGUAGUCCACGCCGUAAACGAUGAGUGCUAAGUGUUAGAGGGUUUCCGCCCUUUAGUGCUGAAGUUAACGCAUUAAGCACUCCGCCUGGGGAGUACGGCCGCAAGGCUGAAACUCAAAGGAAUUGACGGGGGCCCGCACAAGCGGUGGAGCAUGUGGUUUAAUUC